UGGAUGUGUUUAAUUGCCGUUUGGAUGCGGUGCUCAGGGACAGGAUUGAGCAGAGGGUUGUUAGUGAGGGUGGUAUGGUAAGGUUAUGGUUGGACUCGAUGAUCUUUAAGGUCUUUUCCAACCAGAGCAAUUCUGUGUUCAUCACAUCGUUAUUGUCCCUACAGUAUCACAAGCAUGUGCACCCCUUCUAAUGGGCAGCUGUAGUUCAUUUGCUGCAUAAUGCAAAUCUUGAUGCGUUGUGCUGUUUUCCAGUUGCUCGGAUCCCUUCGGAAGCGGCUGUCGUUCCUUUCGCCGGAGUUCGGUGCCCCCUGGUGGUCGCUCUGCAGCCGGCAAUGCCCGGCCUGCUCCCAAGGCAGCUGCAGGGAGAAGCUCCGGGUGCCUUACAGCUCGUGGGAGGUGCUACUUAAAGAUGCUUUUGAAUUCGGUUUUAUUUCUAUUCCUUUUUAUUCCCUGUUCGCUGCAAGGAAGUUGAACCAGACGACCUUUAAUGCUGCCUUCCGAUUCAAACGAUGCCGUGAUGAAUCUAUGAUUUGACUUUUGGGGUUCAUGAGGAGUCGUGGCUGAAUAUUUGAUGUCCUUUCGUCAGCACAGCGCUUCAUUAGACAGAAGAAAAGAGCCACCCGAAUGAGUAGUUAUGCUGAUCAUCUCAUCUGUGCUGCGCCAUGAAAGCCCUUGCAGACUGAAGACAUGAAGUAAAGGGAAUGCCGACAGUUACGCUCUCUGCUUUGCAUGACAAUUUGGAAAGAGAUUAAAACAUGCUGUCAACCCGAGCAGAGAAUCUCAGGGAAGCACAGAAACGAGAUCUGUGGAUGAAUGAGACGAAUCUGUCGUUUGUCUUCUCCUCAUUGUGGACCUGUUGGGAGACGUUUCUUCAGAAGCAAUACGGAAUAAGACUGAAUCAUUUGAAUAAG